rnacentral:rRNA from 1 species
UACAGAGACUGCAAGCGUUAUUCGGAUUCACUGGGCGUAAAGGGUGCGCAGGCGGUUGGGUGUGUCAGAUGUGAAAUCCCGAGGCUUAACCUCGGAACUGCGUCUGAAACUACUCGACUAGAGUACUGGAGAGGGAAACGGAAUUCACGGUGUAGCAGUGAAAUGCGUAGAUAUCGUGAGGAACACCAGAGGCGAAGGCGGCUUUCUGGUCUGUAACUGACGCUGAGGCGCGAAAGCGUGGGGAGCAAACAGG